rnacentral:rRNA from 1 species
GAUGAACGCUGGCGGCGUGCCUAAUACAUGCAAGUCGAGCGAACAGACGAGGAGCUUGCUCCUUUGACGUUAGCGGCGGACGGGUGAGUAACACGUGGAUAACCUACCUAUAAGACUGGGAUAACUUCGGGAAACCGGAGCUAAUACCGGAUAACAUGUUGAACCGCAUGGUUCAACAGUGAAAGACGGUCUUGCUGUCACUUAUAGAUGGAUCCGCGCCGCAUUAGCUAGUUGGUAAGGUAACGGCUUACCAAGGCAACGAUGCGUAGCCGACCUGAGAGGGUGAUCGGCCACACUGGAACUGAGACACGGUCCAGACUCCUACGGGAGGCAGCAGUAGGGAAUCUUCCGCAAUGGGCGAAAGCCUGACGGAGCAACGCCGCGUGAGUGAAGGAGGUCUUCGGAUCGUAAAACUCUGUUAUUAGGGAAGAACAAAUGUGUAAGUAACUAUGCACGUCUUGACGGUACCUAAUCAGAAAGCCACGGCUAACUACGUG